rfam:Acanthamoeba castellanii str. Neff unplaced genomic scaffold scf7180000084769, whole genome shotgun sequence.
GCUGGGAUAGUAUAGUGGUAGUACAUUGGUUUGUGGUACCAACAACCCGGGUUCAAUUCCCGGUCCUGGCA